rnacentral:lncRNA from 1 species
GCUUGUAGUUUUGGAAGAGGCCACAUUAGAACUUGCUGGUGUUGUCUGACUCACUACAGACUUACUGUUUGUACUGUUUGUUCCAUUAGUAGCACUGGGGGAAUGGGAGAAAGUAAAUUUGAAGCCACCAGAUGAUGCCCUUUUGGGAAGGUUUUCUUUGUCUUCACUUUCUUUUGCUAAAGCAAAAGUAAAAUGAGCCUGCAUUAAAUACUGCUAAGUCAAAGCAUUCGUUGAAGUGACAACAUACAACUUUGCCUAUGUAUGCUUUCUAACAGCACAUGUUAAGAUAAGUACAUGUUCUAUUUGGUCAGACUCUUAGGAACGUCAAUGAACAGAACCAACCAUCUUACAGUAGAUUGUUCUCAGUGUUUGCUUGUAAAGAAGCUCUUAGCAGUCUGAUUUCUGUUACUGUCUUCCAUUCACCAACUCCCCUCUACAAAUCUUCUUUCACAAGUCACCACUGAAAAUUCCUAAGGAUAACUCUUAAGUAUCCUAGUCAUUUACUCCCUAAAAACUCCAAGUUUCUUUACUUGAUUUCUUUAUAGCAUAGGUGCCCAAACUCCUUUAAAGUCUGGUAAUUUUAUUUUGAAACAUUUCCUAACAGCAUGCAUGGCCUUUGUUUCUUUUUUAUCGUGAUAUUGAGGGCGACAUCUCUACUGACUGAAAGAAAUGAACUUGUCUGCUAAACAGCACCUGUUCUGGACUGGAGAUAGAAAGCUCAGUGGUAGAGUGCUAGCCAGGCCCUGGGUUCAAGAGCUAGCAAGUAUACAAAUGAAAAGUAAAUAAUGUUCCUUAGAACACCAGUAGGCUUUUUGUUAGCUGUAAGUGGUCCUCAUGGCACUAAUAAGUAGGAAAUGAGUUAGUGAGGGAAUAGCUGAAAGAAAAGAUACUCAGUCACCUGAAUGAGAUUCUAAGAAGAAAUGCCUGAAGAAUAAGUCAUGCAAGACAUAAUCUUGCCUUCCAACAAAUAAAUUUCUAUUAAAUAGACAAAUAGUAUUUGCAGGCCAUUACAGUGAUUAUAUUUCUUUAAAGAUAUUAGCUAUAUCUUAGUUCUACAUAAGUAGGAACACUUAUCCCUUCCCUCGUUGAGGCAGUGUCUAAUGGAUCUCAGACUGGUCCCAAACUUGGUUUGUAGCUGAGGAUCACUUUCAGUUUCUAGUCUUCCUCCCUCCAACUCUUUUAGUGCUGGGUCAUGAGAAGGUGUCACCAUGCCUGGGUUUGUUUUGCCUUUUCUGAAGACAGAGUAGCAUGUAGCAUGGCCUGGCCUCAAGCUCGUCGUGCUUCUACCACCUCAGCCCAAGAAUGGUGGGACUAAAGGUGCUGCCACCAUGCCUAACUGCACCCCCUUAAGUAAUAGUUGAAAUUUCAAAGAGGAAAGUCAUGUCUUUGAGUUCACAUUGCUCAGGCUGUAAAUAUCAGAGGUAGAGUGUUCUAAGCUUCUAUAGUUAUAGUUACUCAAUAAUAAAAACUUAGAAAAAAUUUAGUUAUAAUACAAGUCUUCAAUGAAAUUUUAGCAAAGAAACAAAGUCAGGCCGGAUCUGUUCAGAAGUAUAGUAUACAAUAAAUUUCUAAACAGUUGUCAGGUGUGGUGGCACACACUGUAACCACAGCAUUUGAGAAGCUGGGGUUGGGUGACGUGACUGUGAGUUCUAGGCGACAACGAGGCUAUGUACUGUGACCCUGUUUUAAAUAUUAUAAACUGAACAUUUCUAAACUCAAAAUGAACAGCAUUAAAAACAUUAAGUUUCAAGGAAAGCAUUUUAAAUAUGAAUAUCCAAGAUAACUUUAAAAGGGUAUGAUUCAGUAUAAAAUUCUUGUGCUUCUUGUUUUACAAACCUUGGCCAGAUUUUUUUUCAAAUAAGUAAAAUAUUAUUAUUCUAUGUGUGUUUGUAUGUGUGUGUACUGUGUUAAGGAUCAAACUCAGGCUGUAUAAUUGUUUUACUAAGUGGUGAUAUAUGAAAAUUACAAACAUUAGUACCUUUUUUAGUUUCCAUAAAUUUUUCAUAACUAUCUGGAAAAUCAUCUUCAGUCUUAGAUUUUUCAACUGGUGUUAUGACUGCCUUUCCUUCUUCAUCAUCAUCUUCAUUAAACCACAUUUCUUCAUCCUCUUCUAAGGCUUUUGCAUCUCUGCGAAAUCGGUUACUACGCAAUAUAGAUGGUACACUGUAAGAAAUAUGUCAGAUGCUGAGUAAUGACUACAAGGUCAUAACUAGAUAAACUUUGGGAAGAAUGACUAACCAAGAUGAACUAAUGUAGUUUAACUUAGCAUGUACAGCAUAUCAAAUAAGAUGUAGCUAGAGAAAUCUUCAAAUGUUUUUGUAUGUUGCAAAUUAAGACUCUAUCAAAAUUACUAUAUGCAGUAUCAAGUUGUCAUAUAAUUAACUGAUGUGGCAGAAAGACAGUUUACCUUAUGCUCUGCUAAUAGAGAAAAUUUCACUGGAUAAGAUCUAAACUGUGUACAAUUUUGUACUUAAUUUUGCUUGCUAUAAAUGUAAUAAUACACUUAAAUAAUACCUGUUCAGUUUCUG